rnacentral:rRNA from 1 species
AUUGAACGCUGGCGGCAUGCUUUACACAUGCAAGUCGAACGGUAACAGGGUGCUUGCACCGCUGACGAGUGGCGAACGGGUGAGUAAUGCGUCGGAACGUGCCGAGUAGUGGGGGAUAACGCAGCGAAAGUUGUGCUAAUACCGCAUACGUACUGAGGUAGAAAGUGGGGGACCUUCGGGCCUCACGCUAUUCGAGCGGCCGACGUCUGAUUAGCUAGUAGGUGAGGUAAAGGCUCACCUAGGCGACGAUCAGUAGCGGGUCUGAGAGGAUGGUCCGCCACACUGGGACUGAGACACGGCCCAGACUCCUACGGGAGGCAGCAGUGGGGAAUUUUGGACAAUGGGCGCAAGCCUGAUCCAGCCAUGCCGCGUGUCUGAAGAAGGCCUUCGGGUUGUAAAGGACUUUUGUCCGGGAGCAAAUGCUGGUGGCUAACAUCCACCGGAGCUGAGAGUACCGGAAGAAUAAGCACCGGCUAACUACGUGCCAGCAGCCGCAGUAACAC